rnacentral:rRNA from 1 species
UAGGGAAUCUUCCGCAAUGGACGCAAGUCUGACAGAGCAACGCCGCGUGAGUGAAGAAGGAUUUCGGUUCGUAAAACUCUGUUGUUAGAGAAGAACAGCGCAUAGAGUAACUGUUAUGCGUGUGACGGUAUCUAACCAGAAAGCCACGGCUAACUACGUGCCAGCAGCCGCGGUAAUACGUAGGUGGCAAGCGUUGUCCGGAUUUAUUGGGCGUAAAGCGAGCGCAGGCGGUCAAUUAAGUCUGAUGUGAAAGCCCCCGGCUCAACCGGGGAGGGUCAUUGGAAACUGGUUGACUUGAGUGCAGAAGAGGAGAGUGGAAUUCCAUGUGUAGCGGUGAAAUGCGUAGAUAUAUGGAGGAACACCAGUGGCGAAGGCGACUCUCUGGUCUGUAACUGACGCUGAGGCUCGAAAGCGUGGGUAGCAAACAGG